UUCCAUCCGAGUUCUUGAGUUUGGGUUUGGAAUUCCGGCUUUUUCUGCUUGUUUUGGUUGUGAUUGCAGGACGUACUGAGCCCUCGAGCGAGGAGGACACGGGUAGGUAGCAGGAUUAGCUGCGGGACUCACUAAUUUCAGAUUAGCCGAAAUCGCGUCCAGGAACUUGGGGCUUUGGAGUCGGCACUUCCGUUUUGUCUGUAGGUUAUUACUUAACCUACCCUGUAUGAUAUCGGCUUAGUUAUGUAAUACUGCUCUGAUAACCUUUUAAUUUGGUGAAUGCUAACACUUGAGAACUUGUUAUGGUACUGAUGUUAAGGUGGAUUUUGUACUGUCUGAAUGUAAUUUAUUCACUUAGAAUGUAGAUACUGGAAUGUAUAGUUGAAUGGAAGGUAAAUGUUUAGUUAUGUCCAGGUUCUUUGAUCUCACUUAA
rnacentral:lncRNA from 1 species